CAGCUCCCAAGCUGAAAAUGGGAUGUGGAUCUGAAACCUUUCCCAGGAAUGGGCGGUGGAAUUUUAAUAACAAGCAAUUUGUAGAGCCCACCAAAAUUGAACGAUGGGUUGUUGUCAAUUUCUCUGCACGCUGUAAUGUACGUCAAGUUGUUGACGAUCUGAUCAAAAUUGGAGGA